AUCACUUCUUAGCCUUUUGGCUAAGAUCAAGUGUAGUAGGACCAUAAUAUUAGCACAAAUAAAGGACAUACAGAAAUGCAUUUAUUUUUGUAUCAUUUUAAGGAUGUGGUAUCCCUAAAUGAUUAUAUU
rnacentral:snRNA from 1 species